GAUGAACGCUAGCGGCAGGCCUAAUACAUGCAAGUCGAGGGGUAGAGGAAGCUUGCUUUCUUGAGACCGGCGCACGGGUGCGUAACGCGUAUGCAACCUACCUUUAUCAGGGGGAUAGCCCGGAGAAAUCCGGAUUAACACCGCAUAAAAUCACAGAACAGCAUUGUUUCAUGAUCAAAUAUUUAUAGGAUAAAGAUGGGCAUGCGUGCCAUUAGCUAGUUGGCGGGGUAACGGCCCACCAAGGCGACGAUGGCUAGGGGCUCUGGGAGGAGAAUCCCCCACACGGGUACGGAGCCACGGACCAGACUCCUACGGGAGGCAGCAGUAAGGAAUAUUGGUCAAUGGGGGCAACCCUGAACCAGCCAUGCCGCGUGCAGGAAGACUGCCCUAUGGGUUGUAAACUGCUUUUGUACGGGAAUAACCACUGGUAUGUAUACCAGCCUGAAUGUACCGUAAGAAUAAGGAUCGGCUAACUCCGUGCCAGCAGCCGCCGUAACAC
rnacentral:rRNA from 1 species